rnacentral:tRNA from 1 species
AAAGAAAUAUCAUUAAAAAAGCUUCUAACUUUUUAUAAAGCAUUAAAUUGUUUA